rnacentral:rRNA from 1 species
GACGAACGCUGGCGGCGUGCUUAACACAUGCAAGUCGAGCGAUGAACCUUUCAUGAAUUUUUCGGAAUGAUUGGAAGAGGAUUAGCGGCGGACGGGUGAGUAACGCGUGAGCAACCUGCCUUAAACAACGGGAUAGCCUCGGGAAACCGGGAUUAAUACCGUAUGAGACCCCGCCUUCACAUGAAGAAGAGGUUAAAGAUUUAUCGGUUUAAGAUGGGCUCGCGUCUGAUUAGCUAGUUGGUGAGAUAAAAGCCCACCAAGGCAACGAUCAGUAACCGGCUUGAGAGAGUGAACGGUCACAUUGGAACUGAGACACGGUCCAAACUCCUACGGGGGACAGCAGUGGGGAAUAUUGCACAAUGGGGGAAACCCUGAUGCAGCGACGCCGCGUGAGCGAUGAAGGAAUUCGUUUCGUAAAGCUCUGUCCAAGGGGAAGAUAAUGACAGUACCCUUGGAGGAAGCCCCGGCUAAAUACGUGCCAGCAGCCGCGGUAA